UGGUAGGCCCUGCGGAUGGAUCAUUUU
rnacentral:misc_RNA from 1 species